GACGAACGCUGGCGGCGCGCUUAACACAUGCAAGUCGAGCGAAGCGGCGGACGGGUGAGUAACACGUGAGUAACAUGCCUUAGACAUUGGGAUAGCCCCGGGAAACCGGGAUUAAUACCAAAUGGUCUAAGAUUGACUCCCGUCCUCUUAGAUAGUGGGUGAGGUAACGGCCCACCAAGGCGACGAUGGGUAGCCGGCUUGAGAGGGGGAAUGGGCACAUUGGAACGUAGAAACGGUCCAAACUCUACGGGGGGCAGGAGUGGGGAAUAUUGCACAAGGGAGGGAACUCUGAGGCAGCGACGCCGCGUGAAUGAAGAAUGCUUUCGAGUCGUAAAGUUCUUUUAUAUGGGAAGCGGUACCAUAAGAAAAAGCCCCGGCUAACUACGUGCCAGCCGCCGCGGUAAUAC
rnacentral:rRNA from 1 species